GAGUUUGAUCCUGGCUCAGGAUUAACGCUGGCGGCGUGCCUAACACAUGCAAGUCGAGCGGCAGCGAGUUUUACACUGAAUUCUGGAAGCUUCUAGUUGAAAGAGAAGAUUUAUUCAAGAAUUUUGUGUAAAAUGUCGGCGAGCGGCGGACGGCUGAGUAACGCGUGGGAACGUACCCCAAAGUGAGGGAUAACGCAUCGAAAGGUGUGCUAAUACCGCAUAUGGUCUUCGGAUUAAAGCCUUCGGGCGCUUUGGGAACGGCCUGCGUAAGAUUAGAUAGUUGGUGGGGUAAUGGCCUACCAAGUCGACGAUCUUUAACUGGUUUGAGAGGAUGAUCAGUCAGACUGGAACUGAGACACGGUCCAGACUCCUACGGGAGGCAGCAGUGAGGAAUCUUCCACAAUGGGCGAAAGCCUGAUGGAGCAACGCCGCGUGCAGGAUGAAGGCCUUCGGGUUGUAAACUGCUUUUAUAAGUGAUGAUUAUGACAGUAACUUAUGAAUAAGGAUCGGCUAACUACGUGCCAGCAGCCGCGGUCAUACGUAGGAUCCGAGCGUUAUCCGGAGUGACUGGGCGUAAAGAGUUGCGUAGGUGGUUUAAUAAGCGAAUAGUGAAAUCUGGUGGCUCAACCAUUCGGACUAUUAUUCGAACUGUUGAACUCGAGAGCAGAAGAGGUAGCUGGAAUUUCUAGUGUAGGAGUGAAAUCCGUAGAUAUUAGAAGGAACACCGAUGGCGUAGGCAGGCUACUGGGCUGUUUCUGACACUGAGGCACGAAAGCGUGGGGAGCGAACCGGAUUAGAUACCCGGGUAGUCCACGCCGUAAACGAUGGAUACUAGCUGUUUGGGGUAUCGACCCCCUGAGUAGCGAAGCUAACGCGUUAAGUAUCCCGCCUGUGGAGUACGAUCGCAAGAUUAAAACAUAAAGGAAUUGACGGGGACCCGCACAAGCGGUGGAUCAUGUUCUUUAAUUCGAUGAUAACCGAUAAACCUUACCAGGUCUUGACAUCCUUGGAAUCUUUCAGAAAUGAGAGAGUGCUUUUUAAGAGCCAAGUGACAGGUGAUGCAUGGCCGUCGUCAGCUCGUGUCGUGAGAUGUUUGGUUAAGUCCAUCAACGAGCGCAACCCUUGUCAGUAGUUGUAUUUUUCUACUGAGACUGCCCCGGUAACGGGGAGGAAGGAGGGGAUGACGUCAGGUCAGUAUUUCCCUUACGUCCUGGGCUAGAAACGUGAUACAAUGGCUAGUACAAUGCGCAGCGAAGCCGCGAGGUGAAGCAAAUCGCAUCAAAGCUAGUCCCAGUUCGGAUUGUAGGCUGAAACUCGCCUGCAUGAAGUCGGAAUCGCUAGUAAUCGCAGAUCAGCAUGCUGCGGCGAAUACGUUCCCGGCUCUUGUACACACCGC
rnacentral:rRNA from 1 species